rnacentral:rRNA from 1 species
ANUANGCANANANCGCGAGAAUGCUCAUUAUAUAAGUUAUCGUUUAUUUGAUAGUACCUUACUACAUGGAUAACCGUGGUAAUUCUAGAGCUAAUACAUGCUGAAAAUCCCGACUUCGGAAGGGAUGUAUUUAUUAGAUUCAAAACCAAUGCCCUUCGGGGCUCCGNGGGGGAUUCNAGAAAACUUCCCAAACCCAAGGGCCCCCCCCCGGCAAGGGUUCAUUCAAUUUUCUUCCCUAUCACUUUUCAAGGCGGGUGGCCCUANCAGGGUUGCACCGGAAACGGGGGAAANAAAAAACCAAAAGAUAUCACGGGAUANCGGGGNAUAAUCCUUUACACAGGGNACGANUUCUAGCAGUUUCUUUUUUNUUCAACUCAUGAUUUNAUAAUUGUCAACCAUCCCNAAAUCCGUUCAGCUGAUGACCUUUUAACCUCCCAAGUA